UUAAUCACGAGCUCGCUCAAAUUUCCACACAGAAAUGCACAAAAUUCAGGUGCGGUUUGUUGACUUGACGUGGUUUAGAACAACCUUCCGUGCGUAUCCAUCACAGGCCGUCCAAGACUCGAGUCUUCUCCGGCAAACGCCGUCUUGUUCUAUUUGCUUAGGGUGAUGAAGUUGUUGCUCAUGUGGAGGUACUUCUAGGUUGAAAUGUAGACUCUUCUAGAAGUAGGUCUCAUGGGCGACGUCGUUUGGUCUCGAUCGGGAUUCGAUCAAUUGGCAUAGGGGCGUUGAGAGGCGAGUUUUAAUGCUGAUGAAUCUACCGGGUGUAUACUUGGUGAUUGAGGUGCCAUAGCUGAAAGCUGUCUCGCCGGUCUUCAAUCUCAUUCAUGAUUUGAAUACCGCGACCUCGGCAGGUGCACGAGCGGGAACUUCACAGGAGGAGUUGGCAUUGCAUUAGCUGAUCUGAUGGACUUUUGAGGGAGCGCUUCAACAGAUUUUCUUUUCUGCUGUGAGCACAUCAUACGUUAUUGCGAAGCAGAAAAAAAUAAUUAAAUGAAGAACCCCAUAGCGCUUUGUUUUCUUGUGUCCUUUGCAAUCUUCGUGGCCGUCCAACGAUAUACUGGUGUUGAUCCUGUGUACUCGCUCUCGAAUCUCGCAAUCGAUGCAACUCGCAUGUACAUACGAUACAGACUGGAUUACAGUAAGCUCUGCCGGCACUACAGCAUUGGAGCAUAUUACUCGUGAACUCUACCAUCCUAAGGGAGAAUGUUUUAGUAAGUUGUACUGAUUGUUUCGAGUCGAGACAAUUGCUGCAUCCCGAUGUGGGUGUUUGUGCGUAAUUGGGUAGGGUGCUCCAAGGCUUUCAAGGAGCAGUCACUAGUCAUUUAGGUUUGUGUAAGCACAAUUACUUUUCAGGUGUAUAUUUUCUUCGAUAGACGGAGAUAGAGACGGAGACGAGGUUUAGUUGUCGUGACAUUACAGUGUCAAAAUAGAAAAUUAUGCUUCCAGGAACCAUUCUAGUAGGCGUGUUGCUAUCUAAAGGAUUGUGUACCAUGACUGUACGAAGAGUUAGAGAAGCAGGAUAUCAUGAUGCAAGUACGCCAGAAUCUUGUAAACUGGGCACGUAAAUUUCAGGAACCCGCUUCGGGAUGUAGACAACUUCAUUUUUGGAUAAAAUGAAACUCAAGAAUGUUUUCAACUUCCGCA